CCGGGUGAGUCUAUACUCAGUACUCAGUGGACUGAGACACUACCUAGCCGACCCAGCGCAGGCGACUACUCUCUUCCAUACACGUCUCAGUUCGGAUUGCAGAGCUGCAACUCGCCUGCAUGAAGUCGGAAUCGCUAGUAAUCGCGGAUCAGCACGCCGCGGUGAAUACGUUCCCGGGUCUUGUACACACCGCCCGUCACACCAUGAGAGUUUGUAACACCCAAAGCCGGUGGGGUAACCUUUGGGAGCGAGCCGUCUAAGGUGGGACAGAUGAUUGGGGUGAAGUCGUAACAAGGUAGCCGUAUGAGAACCUGCGGUUGGAUCACCUCCUAUA
rnacentral:rRNA from 1 species